rnacentral:rRNA from 1 species
AGGGUUCGAUUCUGGCUCAGGAUGAACGCUGGCGGCGUGCUUAACACAUGCAAGUCGAACGGAGUUUUAAACGGAAGUUUCGGAUGGAAGUUUAGAAACUUAGUGGCGGACGGGUGAGUAACGCGUGGGUAACCUGCCUCAUACAGGGGGAUAACAGUUAGAAAUAACUGCUAACACCGCAUAAUAUAGCGAAACCGCAUGAUUUUGCUAUCAAAUAUUUAUAGGUAUGAGAUGGACCCGCGGCGCAUUAGCUAGUUGGUGAGGUAACGGCUCACCAAGGCGACGAUGCGUAGCCGACCUGAGAGGGUGAUCGGCCACAUUGGAACUGAGACACGGUCCAGACUCCUACGGGAGGCAGCAGUGGGGAAUAUUGCGCAAUGGGGGAAACCCUGACGCAAGCAACGCCGCGUGAAUGAUGAAGGCCUUAGGGUUGUAAAGUUCUGUCUUCUGGGACGAUAAUGACGGUACCAGAGGAGGAAGCCACGGCUAACUACGUGCCAGCCGCAGC